AAUCCCAAAAUAACUUCAUUGCUAUGAUUUUUUAAAUCAUGAUCAUAAAAUAAUAGCUCAUUUUGUCACUACUAUUUUUUGCCCAGAUUUUAUUCAGUUAUUAUAUUUUGUAUUAUUAUUCUAAGAUCCGAAACUAAUCGGCAAUAGUUAAUACAAUUUUUACACAUCAGCAGAGCUUCAAAAAUAAAAAUAUACCAGCUUUAUGAGAAAGACAUUACUUUCAUGGCAAAAGAGAGAAACGAAAAUUGUGGGAUCCAUGAGAAUGAAGCACAUUUUUGUCCGUUUACGUUUUUUUGUUUUAAAACUAAUAAACUUAUUAAUGUUUUCUAACAUAUAUAAUAAAAAUGGUAAUAUACAUAGUGGUUUUGUUUCUAAUUUUAUAUAGGGUUGUGGCUUUUGAUGAUCUUCAGGUGAAAGUGUAGGAGACAGGGAAUCUCUCUUUGUUGAUGUGUAGUGUACUAUGUUUAUCAACUUGCCCUGAGCACUUUACGUAUAUACACACUCAUUUCCAAGUCAAUGGAUAUAUUAACUAGUAUAUAUUAAACAUUGUUGUUUAUCUAAUGCUUAUAAUGUUAUAUAGUUGGUCGAUGUAGUUAAUUGUGUAUACUCUUGUUUGGUUGAGAAUCGAGACGAUAAGUUAAAACCCACCAUCAUAUGGAAACAAUUUGUUUGUUACACUAUCCCAGAAAUUUUGUAACGAAGUCUUUUUUAUCAGAGAUGCAAAUCAAGACAUUCGUUGAAAUUUAUUCAUGAAUUUAUAUAUUUUAGGAAAUUAAUAUAUAGCACAGUGAUCAUCUUUUUUGGGAGAACGUGCUGAACUUAUCAGUUCAUCAUUCACCAAGACCAAUAUUUUUGCAGUGUGGGAACACUCGCUAAGUCGCAAUAUUUAAUCUCAUGGACGAACGCAUAGUAUAACGAUAAACUACAUGUAAACACCGCAUCAUAUUAAAUAUUCAAAUAAAAUUAUGACAAUACUUAUACACACAUUUUAUGUAUAUAUAUAAAAGAAAUUUCUAUUUUUCUCGAAAAAAUGGAUUAUAACUUGAUGAUACUUGGUAACUAAAGAAUUUGUAGGGCUAGAAUCCAAAUAAACUUUUAGGUUUAGAGACAAUCAACCAUACCAUCAAGAAACCAAACCAUACCAUCAAGAAACCAUAAACAUGGUUCGGUUCCUUUCGGUUUAGCUAGUUUACCUAAGCUAUUGCGUCUCUAUAAAAUACUCACUCCGAGCUUCUUCUUCACUUGCCCCUUUCACUCCUUCUCUCUAACUAGUCGUGUGCUUAUAAAUAUAGACAUAUAUGUAUGCAUGUAUAAGUACUCUUCAAUCGUAAAUAAAUAAUUUUAAAAUUCUGUUAAGCAUUUAUGAUAGAAAUGUACAAGAUUGGUUUGUUGUGUCUGAAUCUGUACGGGUCGACAGAUCGGAACAUAACUAACCAGUCAGUAUUGUAUAUUAAUUUAAUAUAUCUUCCACCUAUAUGCUUCGUUCUUCAACAAUCAUCGCAUAUUUUUUCCUGGAAUUAUGUUUCGUUUUCAAUAUAUUGGUCCCUAAAUUGAUUAUUUUUUGUAAUUUCUUAUGGUAUAAAACAAAAUAUUCCAUAUUUUUUUAUAUGACGAGAAAACAUUUACAGGUUGACACGUCAGCCCUUGGAUUCUGGAACGUAUUCUCUAUACUUCACACCUAUAUGUACUUGCUUCAUCUCAGACUGCUUUUCUCCUUGUUUCUUCUUCAGGUUUCAUCUUCUCAGAGUAGAUAGUUAUCGAGGAGAUUAACCAGAUCUUUUUCUACUUAUUUAAUUUGCGAUUAUAUUUCUGAUUGUUCAAUCAACUUUAUAUUUGUUCCAUUAAUUCGUACAAUCUAUUUCUUGUGUGUGUGUGUGUGUGAAUCUGAUACAAGCUCUCGGAGGAUCCGUGGGGAAAGUUCAUCAGUCGCUUUUUGUAGGUGCAGCACCAUCAAGAUUCACAUGGAAAUUGAAAAACCCCUAAUCUUAUUAAUUAGGGUUUUGAUAUGUAUAUAUGAGAAUCUUGAUGAUGCUGCAUCAACAACAGACGGCUACCAAAUACCUAAAGCUACAGAAAGAAACCACUUAUAUUAUUACAUGAAGUCUGGAUCUUGGGAUAUGAUACUCUGUAGUCCAUAUUCAAAUCAUCGGGGUCCUUAUCUGUGAUGCAAUGAUCAAGAACAACAAGAUAUUGAACACAAAUCGAAUACUUGGGCCAGUUUAACUGGUUUUACUAUCUCUUAUCGUCUCUAGACAUUUUAUAUAUUGUCUUCCACAACUCUCUUGUACUAACACUUAUUUGCCAUUGUUUCAGCUUCUAUUUCUGAGUUAUCACUUGUACUCUAUUCACUAUCAUUGUUCUAAAUUUGUAAUAUUAUAAAUAAUGUUUUUAUGCCAAAUCAAAUCAAACAUAAUGGAGUGUUGUACAUUGUACCAUAACUUUGUUUUUAAGUGGCUCAACUUGAGAAAGAUUUGUCUCUUCCCUUCCGGUUUGUAUCUAUAUAUUCCUGAAACAAAAAUAAGAAGAGAGCAUUGAACAUACUUUCGCUUAAAUAUUUAAUUUUGUGUAAAGGUCAAUUGGGCUGUGGCCCGAUAUCAAAACUAGUUAAAUCAAUUUAUUCUCCUCGUUAGUAUUCAUCAAAGUUUAUAGCCUUGAAAUUUCCUAUAUGAUCGCUCUUGGUUAUAUUGGUAAAGUGAAAACAAUUCGAUAAAAAAAUAGACAUAUAUAUGCAUCGCAUCAAAACACUAACGGAAUGAAUUAAGUGAAGGAAUUAGAAAAUGUGCUCCACAAAAAGCCAUUGGAGAGAUGGAAUCUAAAGAGAUUGAGUCAUGUAGGGCACGCAAUUAAGGACAAAUUUGAGCUGGUUUGUCUUUUGGCAUUACUGAUGAAAAGCAAAUUAAAUAGCAAGAGUAAAAUGUCAAAAGUAAUGGUGAUGAUUUGGGUUCAUCACAAUAUAUUGUUCCCAGUCGCUUCUUAAAUCUCUCUGAGUAAGUAGGUUACUAUCCAUAAAUUUAACUUCCCCAAUUGAGUGUUCUAAGAUUUUCUAAACAAAACUAGUUGAAUUCGUGGUUCCUAGUAUACGAUAUUUUGAGUUUCUUUACCACAACUUACAAAUGUCAGUCAACUGGAAAGGAGUCAAUCUUGUAUAUGUAUACAUAAAUUAAGAACUAUAGUAUUAGUUUAUUGGAGUAUAAAAAUCAAAACAAAAUAGUAGUAUCAUAUAUCGUAUAAGUAACAUGAUAGUAUAUAAAUGAAUUAGUGGGAGCAGCAUAUAGAACUAGAAGUUCGAACACAAGUUUAUUGGAGGUGAAAACUAUUAUACCAAAAAAAUCAACAUCCUCUAGAAACUUUUGUGAAAAAACAUCCCCUAGAAAAAAUUAUUUUAAUUACUGGGGCCACAUGACCUCCCAACACAUAUACAUUCACUUAUAUAGCUAUUUGCAUAGACUGAGGGAAUGAUGUCCAGUCUAGGGUUCUCGUUUUUUUUUUUGCAUACGAAUGAUAACAAUGGAAAUAAAACGCUUGUAUUGUUGAUGGUUUCUGAACAUUAGUAUAAACUAGAAACGAAAAUAUUAUAAAUCUUUGAUUGGUGAAAUUAAACCUUUGUGAGUGUUCCAAAAAAAAAA